GAUGAACGCUAGCGGCAGGCCUAACACAUGCAAGUCGAGGGGCAUCAUGGCGUAGCAAUACGCUGAUGGCGACCGGCGCACGGGUGCGUAACGCGUAUGGAACCUACCCACCGCAGGGGGAUAACCCGCCGAAAGGCGGACUAAUACCCCAUGGUUCCCCGACCCUGCCUGGGGUUGGGGGUAAAGCCUACGGGCGGCGGUGGAUGGCCCUGCGUGCCAUUAGCUGGCUGGUGGGGUAACGGCCUACCAAGGCUAUGACGGGUAGGGGACCUGAGAGGGUGGCCCCCGACAAGUGGAACUGAAACACGGUCCAUACACCUACGGGUGGCAGCAGUAGGGAAUAUUAGAAAUGGACGAAAGUCUGAUCUAGCAACACCGCGUGUGCGAAGAAGGCCUUCGGGUCGUAAAGCACUUUUUGGAAGGAAUAGGAAGGAAUGUACUUCCAGAAUAAAGUCUCGGCUAACUACGUGCCAGCAGCCGCGGGUAAACUGUAGUCGU
rnacentral:rRNA from 1 species